GAUGAACGCUGGCGGCGUGCCUAAUACAUGCAAGUCGAGCGAACAGACGAGGAGCUUGCUCCUUUGACGUUAGCGGCGGACGUGUGAGUAACACGUGGGUAACCUACCUAUAAGACUGGGAUAACUUCGGGAAACCGGAGCUAAUACCGGAUAAUAUUUCGAACCGCAUGGUUCGAUAGUGAAAGAUGGCUUUGCUAUCACUUAUAGAUGGACCUGCGCCGUAUUAGCUAGUUGGUAAGGUAACGGCUUACCAAGGCAACGAUACGUAGCCGACCUGAGAGGGUGAUCGGCCCCCUUAGAACUGAGCCACGUUCCCGACCACGACGGAAGGCAGCAGUAGGGAAUCUGCCGCAAUGGACGAAAGCCUGACGUAGCAACGCCGGGUGUGUGACGGAAGUCUAGGGCUCGGAAAACAGUGGUAUUAGGGGAGAACAAAGGUGUAAGUUACUGUGCAGUCCAUGACGGUACCUAAUCAGAAAGCCACGGCUAACUACGUG
rnacentral:rRNA from 1 species